GGCAUAUCGGGGCAUUGGAAACGAAGUGGAGUUCCGUAUUUGGUUUGGGUGCAGCGAACAAUGGGGGUAACUUGGUUGCAUGGAAUACUGGACGGUUCACGUGGGGUCACGGGGCAAGAACAGAAAUGUUCUCGGACUUUGAAUACUCGGAAGGAUCCUGCUCAGGAUGUUUGUCCCAAAACAUACUGGGUGCGAUGCCCGUGUGGGAGGAAUGAAACCGCCACAUUCGAGAUGCACUCUCAAGCUAGACCUGCUGUACUGCCUGCCACAAGAACCACCUCGUGGUCCUGCCCAUUAUCCGAGGCCACAAGCUAAUACAUGCCAUGGUGACAAGACCAAAGCUUGGUCUUUGCGCACGCUGCACACAAGACGCCUCCUGUUUCGUGCUCAAGGGUUCUUCCAAGCUCUUACGUCGACAAAGUUCCACCUGGCCACAUGGCGGUGGCGACG